AGUCUUCUUGGUUUUAUUAUAUAUUUUAGGCUUUAUCCUGUUUUAUGUUUUAUACGUUCCUUACCUUUUUCUCAUGGAUAAUUGUUAAAUACCUGAAAACUCACCGUCUGCCCAUUCUUACUCAACACUGCACUCCGGCACCAUAAUGAACGGUCCCUUAAAUUGACGCUGAAUCGUACUUCACUCUAAAAUCUAAAUUGAGAAAACGUGUACAACAUUCAAAUAGCUAUGAUCUUAUUUUUUAAUAAAAAUGUGGCUUCACUAAAAUAAGUACAUGACUGACAUAAUAUUCAAAACAAUAAUUUUUAAUUAACACUGAUUAUGGAUUUGGAGAAUUGUCGGUCGCAUGAUGAAAAUUCAUCAAGACAUCACGAAGAUCCUUCUGGACAUAAAAAAUGGUAUCGUCAAGCAAGUCAAAGAUACUCUUUUGAAGAGGAUUAUCGACCUACAAAGUUUCAAGAAGAUCUGAAGGGUCGAGGCCCAGACCGACGUUCAGAAUUGGUAGACCUGCUCAUAUAUAAAUUUGAAUUAGAUUUAUCUAUCUGUAUUGUAACGUAAUAAAACAAUUGAAAAAAAAAUUAACAAUAAUAGUUUUGAGUCAACUAAUUUAGGAAUCAUCACGCAAAUAAAUGAACAUAAAUGUAUAGGUCGAAAUAAAGUUACAAACUUGAAAGUUUUGGUAAAUAUUUGGUUUAAAUAAAAUGUGUUAACAAUAAAAAAUAAAUUGUGUAUUAUAAUGAAAAUGUUAUUAAAGUUCACAAUAGUAAAAUUCAGUCAG
rnacentral:misc_RNA from 1 species